CCGGGCCCCCGCCGAAAGUUUCCCCCGGCCCCGCUCGGCCCCGCGGCCGCCCUGCCCCGGGACGCGGACGGAGGGGCGAGCCGAGCGGAUGGAGGGGAGCCGGGGACGGGGCACGAGCUGCGGGAUGGGCUGGGGGCCAAACGAGGAGCCCCGGGGCGAGGAGUGAGCUGGGGGCCGGAGGGUGAGCCAGGGACGAGGUACUUUAAUCAGGGCAGAAUAAUCCAGAGACAUUUCCUUCUUCCAGUGGAGAGAAACUGGCUUUUUCAUCUGAUAUCAUGGGUGAGAGAAGAUUUGGUGCAGAGUGGCAGAUGUACCUUCCCUCUGGUGUGCUGGGUGACUCUUCUGCUUCAUGAUCCCAGUUGUGGGCAAACACACAAGUGAAAAAGAGGAGGAGGGAGCUGUGUGCCCUGCUUGGGCAGGCUCUGCAUGGCUCUGGGUAGGCUGUGGAGGAUGCAGGU
rnacentral:lncRNA from 1 species